rnacentral:rRNA from 1 species
ACGAACGCUGGCGGCGUGCUUAACACAUGCAAGUCGAACGGAAAGGCCCUGCUUUUGUGGGGUGCUCGAGUGGCGAACGGGUGAGUAACACGUGAGUAACCUGCCCUUGACUUUGGGAUAACUUCAGGAAACUGGGGCUAAUACCGGAUAGGAGCUCCUGCUGCAUGGUGGGGGUUGGAAAGUUUCGGCGGUUGGGGUUGGACUCGCGGCUUAUCAGCUUGUUGGUGGGGUAGUGGCUUACCAAGGCUUUGACGGGUAGCCGGCCUGAGAGGGUGACCGGCCACAUUGGGACUGAGAUACGGCCCAGACUCCUACGGGAGGCAGCAGUGGGGAAUAUUGCACAAUGGGCGGAAGCCUGAUGCAGCAACGCCGCGUGCGGGAUGACGGCCUUCGGGUUUUAAACCGCUUUCGCCUGUGACGAAGCGUGAGUGACGGUAAUGGGUAAAGAAGCACCGGCUAACUACGUG